AGAGUUUGAUCAUGGCUCAGGACGAACGCUGGCGGCGUGCUUAACACAUGCAAGUCGAACGGUGAAAGAGGAGCUUGCUCCUCUGGAUCAGUGGCGAACGGGUGAGUAACACGUGAGUAACCUGCCCUUGACUCUGGGAUAAGCGUUGGAAACGACGUCUAAUACCGGAUAUGAACCGUGGAGGCAUCUCCUGCGGUUGGAAAGAACUUCGGUCAAGGAUGGACUCGCGGCCUAUCAGGUAGUUGGUGAGGUAACGGCUCACCAAGCCGACGACGGGUAGCCGGCCUGAGAGGGUGACCGGCCACACUGGGACUGAGACACGGCCCAGACUCCUACGGGAGGCAGCAGUGGGGAAUAUUGCACAAUGGGCGAAAGCCUGAUGCAGCAACGCCGCGUGAGGGACGACGGCCUUCGGGUUGUAAACCUCUUUUAGCAGGGAAGAAGCGAAAGUGACGGUACCUGCAGAAAAAGCACCGGCUAACUACGUGCCAGCAGCCGCGGUAAUACGUAGGGUGCAAGCGUUGUCCGGAAUUAUUGGGCGUAAAGAGCUCGUAGGCGGUUUGUCGCGUCUGCUGUGAAAACGCGAGGCUCAACCUCGCGCCUGCAGUGGGUACGGGCAGACUAGAGUGCGGUAGGGGAGAUUGGAAUUCCUGGUGUAGCGGUGGAAUGCGCAGAUAUCAGGAGGAACACCGAUGGCGAAGGCAGAUCUCUGGGCCGUAACUGACGCUGAGGAGCGAAAGCGUGGGGAGCGAACAGGAUUAGAUACCCUAGUAGUCC
rnacentral:rRNA from 1 species